GGAUGGAUCAUUCUUGUUUGUAACAACCAACCCAAGGAUACUUUGGCCUCUACCUACAAUUCCGAAACCUGUACUGAAAUAUAAAACUUUUGGCGAUGGAUGACUCGACUCUCGUAACGAGGAAGGACGCAGCAAACUGCGAUAAGCAUUAUGACUUGCGAACACUCGUGAAUCACUCGAUUUCUGAACGCAUUUGUACUCUUGGACUUGUCUUCGAGUAUGCUUGGUUCGGCAUCUAUUGGAUUUGACAUCAGUCGAUGAAUGCUCUCAGGCCUCAGCCUGUUGGCGUCUUGGAUUCAAAGCUUAUUUUCCGUGCACCUAUAGUGGUACUGUGGGUUGGGCAUAAGCUUCGAAACUUUGAUCUUGAUCCGAGCUCAAGUAAGAAAACCCGCUGAAUUUAAGCAUAUAACUAAGCGGAGGAAAAGAAACCAACAGGGAUUCCCAGAGUAGUGGCGAACGAAAUGGGAACAGCCCAGGAUGUGAAUCCAGUUUAUGCUGGAGUUGUGCAUCGUGUUAACACAAGCAAGAAGUUCCAGAUAAGAUGUCAGGAAAGGCAUGCCGCAGACGGUGAUAGUCCGGUUUGUGCUGGAAACUUCGAGUGUACUGUGUUGAUACACUGAGUCACGCUCUUUGGGAGUAGAGCGCAAAAUGGGUGGUAACCUCCAUCCACGGCUAAAUACUGACGAGAGAUCGAUAGCAAACAAGUACCGUGAGGGAAAGUUGAAAAGCACUUCGAAAGGAGAGUUAAAAUACCUGAAAUCGCCAAAAGGGAAGCGACUGUUUGUGAUCCGAUCACUGUGCGAACGAACAAACCAAACCUUUUACUUUGGGAGUGGUUAACCCCACUACCAAAGAGAAAAGAUUAAUGUUACGUCCCUUCAGUGUCACUUGGCAACACUUCGAGUUCCUUUCACACCAACAAAGUUUUACUUUGUAGGUUGUCAUUGGUUCGCGGAGUGAUGUAUGCCUUUGGAGGUUGCCAAGAGAGGCACAAACAGGCGACCCGUCUUGAAACACGGACCAAGGAGUUAAACAUGUGUGCGAGUGUAAGAGUUAAACACUCCUACGCGCAGUGAAAGCAACAACGGUAGACCUCAGUGCAACCGUGGCCGACUCUAAGUUCGAGCUUGAGCAUAUUUGUUUAGACCCGAAAGAUGGUGACCUAUACCUGGGUUGGGUGAAGCCAGGGGAAACCCUGGUGGAAGCUCGUAGCGAUACUGACGUGCAAAUCGUUCGUCGAACUUGGGCAUAGGGGCGAAAGACUAAUCGAACCGUCUAGUAGCUGGUUCCCUC
rnacentral:misc_RNA from 1 species